rnacentral:rRNA from 1 species
GACGAACGCUGGCGGCGUGCUUAACACAUGCCAGUCGAACGGAAAGGCCCUGCUCUUGUGGGGUGCUCGAUUGGCGCACGGGUGAGUAACACGUGAGUAACCUGCCCUUGACUUUGGGAUAACUUCAGGAAACUGGGGCUAAUACCGGAUAGGAGCUCCUGCUGCAUGGUGGUGGUUGGAAAGUUUCGGCGGUUGGGGAUGGACUCGCGGCUUAUCAGCUUGUUGGUGGGGUAGUGGCUUACCAAGGCUUUGACGGGUAGCCGGCCUGAGAGGGUGACCGGCCACAAUGGGACUGAGAUACGGCCCAGACUCCUACGGGAGGCAGCAGUGGGGAAUAUUGCACAAUGGGCGGAAGCCUGAUGCAGCAACGCCGCGUGCGGGAUGACGGCCUUCGGGUUGUAAACCGCUUUCGCCUGUGACGAAGCGUGAGUGACGGUAAUGGGUAAAGAAGCACCGGCUAACUACGUG